rnacentral:rRNA from 1 species
AUUGAACGCUGGCGGCAGGCUUAACACAUGCAAGUCGAGCGGGGGAAGAUAGCUUGCUACUGGACCUAGCGGCGGACGGGUGAGUAAUGCUUAGGAAUCUGCCUACUAGUGGGGGACAACAUCUCGAAAGGGAUGCUAAUACCGCAUACGUCCUACGGGAGAAAGCAGGGGAUCUUCGGACCUUGCGCUAAUAGAUGAGCCUAAGUCGGAUUAGCUAGUUGGUGGGGUAAAGGCCUACCAAGGCGACGAUCUGUAGCGGGUCUGAGAGGAUGAUCCGCCACACUGGGGCUGAGACACGGCCCAGCCUCCUACGGGAGGCAGAAGUGGGGAAUAUUGGACAAUGGGGGGAACCCUGAUCCAGCCAUGCCGCGUGUGUGAAGAAGGCCUUAUGGUUGUAAAGCACUUUAAGCGAGGAGGAGGCUACUCUAGUUAAUACCUAGGGAUAGUGGACGUUACUCGCAGAAUAAGCACCGGCUAACUCUGUGCCAGCCGCCGCGGUAA